UUUAACACAUUAUAUGUCAUUAUGCAUGUUAUCUCAACAGUAAGUAACAUCGACUAUAUGCAUCAAUUAGAAAACCAUUACUCUUAGACAUAUAGGCGACCUAGUCGCUUCGGUGAGCACAACCCACCUCAUUUCGCAUUCCAAUUGCUUGUCGAUACUUGCAAUCGGCCUCCCGCGGCACCCGGCACCCGGUUUGGCCCGAUCUCUCGCGCGACCACCCGAACGGCCUCCAAUUCACGAUCCGAAAAUUAAAGGUCUUCGGUUAUGUGCCACGAUGCUUCAAAUCCGUUUUCAUGAGUAUACGAUGUCGCCUCGGCCCUCCAGGCGAAAACGAAGCCUAAACGUCCGUUUCUUUAAUAACUUCGCAACGGCUCGACGAAUCGCCGAACCGACUUCGCCAACGCGUUCAUUUACCUAUCAAUUAGGUUUACAUAGAGUCAAUUUACAUCAAACCCAUGCAUUUUAUAAAACUCCAAAAUUGGAGCCCUAACAUGCUACUAUUGCAAUAAGCUUAAAAAUUGAUUCAUGAUUCAAGCAAUUAGCAUGUAGAUAUCAUAUAGAGAGUCUUCUAAACCCAUUCCUAGAGCAUAUAAUUAAAGCUCUAAGGUUCUACCAUUUUUAAAAACCUAGCCUCUACACAUGCUCCAAUUAACCCAAAUUAAAUGGAUUCAACAUGCUAAUCAACACAUUAGAGGCUAUUAGGACACUAAGCAUUAAGGAUUAAGCCAAAUCCCAAAAGCUUACCUCAAUGUGAACGCCGCGAUGAAAACACUCCGCUCCAACGGCCGCACGAAAGCUCAAUCCGUCGCUCCCAACACGUUCGCAAGCAUCGUCUCCACCAACCCCGCGAAUUUGAGCGAGAGAUAUAG
rnacentral:lncRNA from 1 species